rnacentral:lncRNA from 1 species
CACACCUGAGGCAGCGUCGACACAGACCACAACAUUCUUCAAUAAGGACCUGUUAGGGAGCCAGUCCAGGAGAUUAAAGAUACAAUUCAGAUGAACUGUUACAAGGUAACUCCAUGUCAACAGCUGAACUCUGAUCGGGUCAAGGGAUACAUUGGCAAUGAAGUGUUAGAGUGAAUUCUAGUUGCCUAUCUCAGAUGUUGUAAUGUGGUUCAAGAAAGGACCUGAAGAAAAGACGCCGAGAUUGUCUUCUGUACUUCGAAAAAUGGUAUAAGCAGGGGAAGCUGGUGAGAGAGAAUUUGAAAAUAAAUAGCGGGAUGUACCUGCUGCUGGGUGACACCUCAGUGAUGUGUGCAGCACCUGUUACCUCUGGACUGGCUUUAUGGUGAUAUAAAAUCCUGUUCUGUGACAUGUGGCUGGUGUUAUUCACUUUGUAAUUCUUUGGGGAAGCUUUCCUUUGCUGACUUCCAUAACUCAAAUGGACGGGGACCAAAUAGAAGAUAUUUGGCCUUCUCCAAGGCCAUCCUGCCGACAUACAUGGUAGCAAACACUCAGCAAAAAGAUAUUUAUUUGGUUGUUUUUUGCUUUCUAUGUUUUUCAAAAUUGCAAGGAGAAGAAGAAAAUACACAAACACAGGUCUCUGCCUUGAGGUCCUAAAAGCUGCAAAUGAGACCUGUCUUACAAGGAAAUAAAAAAGAGA